GACGAACGCUGGCGGCGUGCCUAAUACAUGCAAGUAGAACGCAGUCGCGAACGGGUGAGUAACGCGUAGGUAACUGGUUCAUUGCGGGGGAUAAGUAUUGGAAACGUUAGCUAAUACCGCAUACUGCGAGAUUGACCGGCGUUGUAUUAGCUAGUUGGUGAGGUAAAGGCUCACCAAGGCGACGAUACAUAGCCGACCUGAGAGGGUGAUCGGCCACACUUGGACUGAGACACGGCCCAGACUCCUACGGGAGGCAGCAGUAGGGAAUCUUCGGCAAUGGAGGGAAGUCUGACCGAGCAACGCCGCGUGAGUGAAGAAGGUUUUCGGAUCGUAAAGCUCUGUUGUUAAGGAAGCGGUACCUAACCAGAAAGGGACGGCUAACUACGUGCCAGCAGCCGCGGUAAUAC
rnacentral:rRNA from 1 species